GGCGGUCUAUCUUCACGCAAUCCGAGGCGCGAGUGCAAACCUUGAGGGCGUAUCGCGUUUGGUUGUAGUAAAUAUAACCUCAACCGUGUAUAUUGGUGGUAUUUGUUUGCAAUACAUUUUCUUUUCGAUAUGACUAAGUCGUGCGCGGUGCCGAACUGCAAAACGGGAUAUAAAAGUAUAAAACAAAAGUGCUCCGUUUUUAAAGUGCCAAGAAACGUUGAACAAUUUAAAAAAUGGCAAGUAGCAAUCUCUGGCAUUGAAUUGAAGCAAUCGCAAUUCGUUUGCGAGAAGCACUUUGAAGAACAAUACAUUCUAAGAAAAUGGAUAAAACGCGACUGCGAUGGUCGAAUUAUUGCUCAAGUUCCCUAUGUGCAUCCAAAGCUAGCCAAGUCAGCAGUUCCAACAGUAUUCGACAGCCCUACUGAGAUGGAACAAGGUGUCUCAAAAUUUCAAGAAUCUCAGUUGCAGGAUAAGCUUGUCGAGCACAAGGUUGAUUCGCCGCAAGAGUCCAUUCAAUGUAAGGUUCUUCCGCCGAAGGAGAUUGUUGGUAUCACAUCAACUGUGCAAAAUUAUGCAGUAGUAGUAGUAGAUUCAGUGCCUACAAUGCCUACAGUGUCCACAGUGUGUGAUAGAAAUUUCGAUAUUUCAAACAUCACAAUCAACAAUCGUAUUAGUAAAGUGGCUACGACUAGUGAAAACGAUUCUAUCACCGUACCAAAAUCGUGGGCUGUUACGGAAUACAAUGAAGAAGGAGGACAAAGCGUAGUCUUCUCACGUCUCGUAAAGAUGUGUAGAAAUAGUAUGCAAAUACCAGUACUAGAAAAAAGUAUUAUAGUUAAGACUGAUAAAAUACUUCACUACUACGUUCAUGGGCGUCCCGUGGAUCCAGAGAGAUGUCAACUCCCUCCAGUUUUGGAAGACAUUACAUUGCUGCUGAACACUUUGGAAAGAUUCAAAAACAUGAAUGUUUGUAAUGGUCUAGGUGCUAUCAACGUUCAUCAUUUGUCGGUUGAUACUGCGUUUAAAGACUAUGUUGAACGAUGGCACGACAACAACUGUACGAUGAUCUCGAAACGGAAAAGAUGUGAUAGCUGCAUAAAGAAGAAGAAACAAAUAAUGCAGAGGGAAGCGAGAUUGAAGAAAACUCAAACAUUAAAGCGUAUACGCCGAAUGUCAAAUCCCAUCGAUCAAAAGAAGCUCAUGACUUUACAGAAGAAGUAUGUUUGUGAAAGGCGCGAAAAAAACAAAAUCAAGCAAUGCAUACAAUUAAUAACUCAAUCGUUGAAAGAAAAGGCCGACUAAAUCUCUUCUAUUCAUGCCGAUAUGUUGGACGAAAAGUGUGCAAAAUUGGACCUCUCAACUGCGCAACAGACAGAGCUCAGAGAAAUCAUCUCUGCUGCAUCGAAGAAAGGAACUGAAGAAUAUUUACGGGUCGAAAUCUGAGGAAAAAAGUGCUACGUAUCCUCAACACGUUCAGAAAAAAUUAAAUGAGAUUGUACAACCACACGACGAUUGGGAAGCGGAUAACAUUAUAGAACAUAAUAAUCACGAUCAUGAUUAUGCUUUCUCCGAGACUCUCGAUUGUAAAAUACAUACAAUAAAAUACAAUAUGUCAGGUUUUUUUAUUUUAAUAUUAACUUUUUUCUGAAAUUGCUUGAAAUCUUAACAAUCUGUUGAUAUGCGCCUUAUAACAACUGUAUUCUCUAACAAUACUAACUAUACUAACUACUAACUAGUAAAGAGAAAAUUGUCAAGACUGACUAUACAUUAAAAAUUACGUUAUCAUU
rnacentral:misc_RNA from 1 species